rnacentral:rRNA from 1 species
UACGAAGGGUGCAAGCGUUAAUCGGAAUUACUGGGCGUAAAGCGUGCGCAGGCGGUUUUGUAAGCCAGAUGUGAAAGCCCCGGGCUUAACCUGGGAAUGGCAUUUGGGACUGCAAGGCUUGAGUGCGGCAGAGGAGACUGGAAUUCCUGGUGUAGCAGUGAAAUGCGUAGAUAUCAGGAGGAAUACCGAUGGCGAAGGCAGGUCUCUGGGCUGACACUGACGCUCAUGCACGAAAGCGUGGGGAGCAAACAGG